rnacentral:rRNA from 1 species
GAUGAACGCUGGCGGCGUGCCUAAUACAUGCAAGUCGAGCGAACGGACGAGAAGCUUGCUUUUCUGAUGUUAGCGGCGGACGGGUGAUUAACACGUGGAUAACCUACCUAUAAGACUGGGAUAACUUCGGGAAACCGGAGCUAAUACCGGACAAUAUUUUGAACCGCAUGGUUCAAAAGUGAAAGACGGUCUUGCUGUCCCUUAUAGAUGGAUCCCCGCUGCAUUAUCUAGUUGGUAAGGUAAAGGCUUACCAAGGCAACGAUGCAUAGCUAACAUGAGAGGGUGAUCGGCCAAACAGGAACUGAGACACGGUCCAGAAUCCUACGGGAGGCAGCAGUAGGGAAUCUUCCGCAAUGGGCGAAAGCCUGACGGCGCAACGCCGCGUGAGUGAUGAAGGUCUUCGGAUCGUAAAACUCUGUUAUUAGGGAAGAACAUAUGUGUAAGUAAAUGUGCACAUCUUGACGGUACCUAGUCAGAAAGCCACGGGUAACUACGUG